AACCAGCACCUCAAGUGGUCAGGAUGAUUAUUGGGCCUAAAGCAUCCGUAGCCGGCUCUGUAAGUUUUCGGUUAAAUCUGUACGCUUAACGUACAGGCUGCCGGGAAUACUGCAGAGCUAGGUAGUGGGAGAGGUAGACGGUACUCGGUAGGAAGGGGUAAAAUCCUUUGAUCUAUUGAUGACCACCUGUGGCGAAGGCGGUCUACCAGAACACGUACGACGGUGAGGGAUGAAAGCUGGGGGAGCAAACCGGAUUAGAUACCCGGGUAGUCCCAGCUGUAAACUAUGCAAACUCAGUGAUGCAUUGGCUUGUGGCCAAUGCAGUGCUGCAGGGAAGCCGUUAAGUUUGCCGCCUGGGAAGUACGUACGCAAGUAUGAAACUUAAAGGAAUUGGCGGGGGAGCACCACAAGGGGUGAAGCCUGCGGUUCAAUUGGAGUCAACGCCGGAAAUCUUACCCGGAGAGACAGCAGAAUGAAGGUCAAGCUGAAGACUUUACCAGACAAGCUGAGAGGUGGUGCAUGGCCGUCGCCAGCUCGUGCCGUGAGAUGUCCUGUUAAGUCAGGUAACGAGCGAGAUCCCUGCCCCUAGUUGCCACCAUUACUCUCAGGAGUAGUGGGGCGAAUUAGCGGGACCGCCGCAGUUAAUGCGGAGGAAGGAAGGGGCCACGGCAGGUCAGUAUGCCCCGAAACUCUGGGGCCACACGCGGGCUGCAAUGGUAACGACAAUGGGUUUCGAAUUCGAAAGGAUGAGGUAAUCCUCAAACGUUACCACAGUUAUGACUGAGGGCUGCAACUCGCCCUCACGAAUAUGGAAUCCCUAGUAACUGCGUGUCACUAUCGCGCGGUGAAUACGUCCCUGCUCCU
rnacentral:rRNA from 1 species